rnacentral:rRNA from 1 species
AUUGAACGCUGGCGGCAGGCCUAACACAUGCAAGUCGAGCGGAUGAAGGGAGCUUGCUCCUGGAUUCAGCGGCGGACGGGUGAGUAAUGCCUAGGAAUCUGCCUGGUAGUGGGGGAUAACGUCCGGAAACGGGCGCUAAUACCGCAUACGUCCUGAGGGAGAAAGUGGGGGAUCUUCGGACCUCACGCUAUCAGAUGAGCCUAGGUCGGAUUAGCUAGUUGGUGGGGUAAAGGCCUACCAAGGCGAGGAUCCGUAACUGGUCUGAGAGGAUGAUCAGUCACACUGGAACUGAGACACGCUCCAGACUCCUACGGGAGGCAGCAGUGGGGAAUAUUGGACAAUGGGCGAAAGCCUGAUCCAGCCAUGCCGCGUGUGUGAAGAAGGUCUUCGGAUUGUAAAGCACUUUAAGUUGGGAGGAAGGGCAGUAAGUUAAUACCUUGCUGUUUUGACGUUACCAACAGAAUAAGCACCGGCUAACUUCGUG